rnacentral:rRNA from 1 species
UACGGAGGGUGCGAGCGUUGUCCGGAAUCACUGGGCGUAAAGGGCGCGUAGGCGGCUCGAUAAGUUGCUGGUGAAAUCCCGGGGCUCAACUCCGGGGCUGCCGGUAAGACUGUCGAGCUCGAGCACGGUAGAGGCAGAUGGAAUUCCCGGUGUAGCGGUGGAAUGCGUAGAUAUCGGGAAGAAUACCAGUGGCGAAGGCGUUCUGCUGGGCCGUUGCUGACGCUGAGGCGCGACAGCGUGGGGAGCAAACAGG